GAUGAACGCUGGCGGCGUGCCUAAUACAUGCAAGUCGAGCGAACGGACGCGAAUCUUGCUUCUCUGAUGUUAGCGGCGGAGGGGUGAAUAACACGUGGAUAACCUCCUUAUAAGACGGGUAUAUCUUCGGGAAACCGGAGCUAAUACCGGAUGAUAUUUUGAACCGCGUGGGUGAUAAGUAAAAGACGGUCUUGCUGUCACUUAUAGAUGGAUCCGCGCUGCUUUAGGUAGUAGGUAAGGUAACGGCUUACCAAGGGAACGAUGCAUAACCGACCGCAGAGGGGGAUAGGCCACCUUGGAACUUAGACGCGGACCAGACUCCUACGGGAGGCAGCAGUAGGCAACCGUACGCAGUGGGCGAAAGUCUGACGGAACAACGCCGCGUGAGUGACGAUGGUCUCCGGAGCGUAAAACUCUGUUACUAGGGAAGAACCUAUGUGUAAGUAACUGUGCACAGAUUGACGGUAACUAAUCAGAAAGCCACGGCUAACUACGUG
rnacentral:rRNA from 1 species